rnacentral:rRNA from 1 species
CACCGCGGUUAUACGAGAGGCCCAAGUUGAUAGACACCGGCGUAAAGCGUGGUUAAGUUAAAACCCAUACUAAAGCCAAACAUCUUCAAGGCUGUUAUACGCAACCGAAGACAGGAAGUUCAACCACGAAAGUGGCUUUAUUAGUCUGAAUCCACGAAAGCUAAGGAA